ACACCAACAUAAUGGGCAGGACUAGUCAGCUCAUCACAAGGACAAUUCCAACCACAUCCAAUCAGGUUUCAGAUUUCUGAGGUGAGGGUCCACAGAAAGAGAACUGAUGUCUGCCAGUGGAAAAGAAUGAUGCUAAUGAAGAUACAAAUGGAAGUUCAGAACCACCAUAGAGCAUGCUAGCAAAUCACAACAAAGACCGGGGGUUGGCAGCAAGGAACAGGCAGGGCAGCUGCUGGUAUGACGUCAGCAGCGGGAGCGGGACCUACCAGCCCCUACGGUGCAGAUGAGGUUCUCAGUGUUGACAGCGGUCAGGGCCUUUGCGAACAAGCCAGGCCAGAAAGAUGUCAUCUGCUGUCACUGAAGGAGAAAGUACAGGAAAAAAACAAAAAACAACAAGAAGUCAUUUGAAGCCUUCUGGAUUUUUCACUAGUAUCAACAGGUAUAAAAGCAGUGUCCAGUGCUCAGUGACUAGAAGAUAGUUCUCUGCAGAAUGUUCAAGGACACCACAGUGAAUUUGAAGAUGGAUAGAGUUAGUCAUUCAACUAACGUGAUGUAUCCGUGUUGCUCAAGCACCAAUGACCUGCUAGUAAACAGAGCAUUGUUUCAUCACACAUUUCACUGUGGGGAGUAGAAGAUGAACACACUGUUUAACAUGCCAGAAUUAACAUGCUUGCAUUGGUUGAUACUGUCAGCCUGAUAGGAGAGAGAUGCAAGCCUCUGGGCGGGUGGGAGGGAUUCUCUAUACCAAGCUAGUUCAGGUGGGAAGACAUACUAUAAAUAUGGGGAGCAACAGCCUUUGGGCUGGGUCCUGGAAUGUAUAAAGACCUGCGUCUCCCACCUUCUGACAGCUGUAGCCAUUUUGUUCCAUGCCUGCCUGCUAUUUUGUAUUGUUGCUGUAAUAUGCCCGCCAGUCAUCGAUACAGAAAAAUAACUUGACUCAGAGCAGGGCCAUGCUGACCACAUACCCUGUUAUGUCCUGCACGUUCUAAGGUUUGUUAAUCUUAAGAAAUUUGACAACCAUAAACUUCACUUAAAGCUGGUCAGAAAAAAAGGUCAAUUAGAACUGUUCUGUCUAGCUAGCCAAAAAAGCUUGAGUCAAGAGCUGACCACUAGGCAGCACUUCCUGCAUCUGCAUGUGAGCUCAUUGUGGUUUUAUCACUUAUAAGCCAGCUCUGAGAAAUGUUCAAGCUUGUAGCUUCAGCGCCCAAAUUCUGAGCUAUGGCCUUGAUUGAUGGAUCUUAGGGUGUGCAUUCUAUAAACCGUCCCUGUUUCGCUAAGAUGGUUGUGUGGUUUGUGGGGUGACUCCUGGACCUGCAACAGAAUGAUUAAAAUCGAGAAAGCAAACUGAGAGCUUGCAAACAUCCAUCUCCCUUCUUCCUGACUAUGCAUACAUACAUGAGACCAGGUGCCUCAUACUCUUGCUGCUGUGAUUUUCCCACCAUGUUGCUGCACUCCCCAACUGUGAAUGGAAAUGAACCUUUCUCUCU
rnacentral:lncRNA from 1 species